rnacentral:rRNA from 1 species
UACGAAGGGGGCUAGCGUUGUUCGGAAUCACUGGGCGUAAAGCGCACGUAGGCGGAUUGCUAAGUCAGGGGUGAAAUCCUGGAGCUCAACUCCAGAACUGCCUUUGAUACUGGCGAUCUUGAGUCCGGGAGAGGUGAGUGGAACUGCGAGUGAGAGGUGAAAUUCGUAGAUAUUCGGAAGAACACCAGUGGCGAAGGCGCUCACUGGUCCGAUACUGACGCUGAGGUGCGAAAGCGUGGGGAGCAAACAGG